rnacentral:rRNA from 1 species
AGCGGCGGACGGGUGAGUAAUGUCUGGGAAACUGCCUGAUGGAGGGGGAUAACUACUGGAAACGGUAGCUAAUACCGCAUACCAUCAGAUGUGCCCAGAUGGGAUUAGCUAGUAGGUGGGGUAACGGCUCACCUAGGCGACGAUCCCUAGCUGGUCUGAGAGGAUGACCAGCCACACUGGAACUGAGACACGGUCCAGACUCCUACGGGAGGCAGCAGUGGGGAAUAUUGCACAAUGGGCGCAAGCCUGAUGCAGCCAUGCCGCGUGUGUGAAGAAGGCCUUCGGGUUGUAAAGCACUUUCAGCGGGGAGGCGUUACCCGCAGAAGAAGCACCGGCUAACUCCGUGCCAGCAGCCGCGGUAAUACGGAGGGUGCAAGCGUUAAUCGGAAUUACUGGGCGUAAAGCGCACGCAGGCGGUCUGUCAAGUCGGAUGUGAAUCCCCGGGCUUAACCUGGGAACUGCAUUCGAAACUGGCAGCUAGAGUCUUUAGAGGGGGGUAGAAUUCCAGGUGUAGCGGUGAAAUGCGUAGAGAUCUGGAGGAAUACCGGUGGC